AUACGGAGGAUGCAAGCGUUAUCCGGAUUUAUUGGGUUUAAAGGGUGCGUAGGCGGGUCUGUAAGUCAGGGGUGAAAUACUGCAGCUUAACUGUAGCAUUGCCUUUGAAACUGCCGUUCUUGAGUACAGUUGAGGUCUGCGGAAUGUGUUGUGUAGCGGUGAAAUGCAUAGAUAUACCACAGAACGCCGAUUGCGAAGGCAGCUUACUAAGCUGUUACUGACGCUGAGGCACGAAAGCGUGGGGAUCAAACAGGAUUAGAUACCCUGGUAGUCCACGCUGUAAACGAUGAUUACUGGUUGUUAGCGAUAUAUAGCUAGUGACUGAGCGAAAGCAUUAAGUAAUCCACCUGGGGAGUACGUCGGCAACGAUGAAACUCAAAUGAAUUGACGGGG
rnacentral:rRNA from 1 species